CAGAUCACGUAAACUUUUAAUAGUCGAACAGACUAAAAUUAUUAACAUCUUCCCCAACAAUUAAAUUUAAUUCAACAUCGAGGUCAUAAUCUUAAUUAUUAAUAAGAACUUGUUAACUAAAUAAUGCUGUUACCCCUAAAGUAACUUCAUAUUAAUAUAAUAACUUAUAAUACCCAAAAAUAUAUUAUCUCUAGAUUCAAACAAAAAUUUUCCUUUUCAUUUAUUACCCCAAUAAAAAAACAAACCUUAAAAGCUUUUAGGGUCUUCUCGUCCCAAAGAUUAAUAAAAGCAUUUUUACUUUUAAUUUAAAUUCAAACUUAUUAAACAAAACAUUCCUCUUAGUAUCUACCCUUCAUCCCAGUUUACAGUUAAUAAA
rnacentral:rRNA from 1 species